rnacentral:misc_RNA from 1 species
AAGGAAAAAGAGGAUCAAGUUUCAAGGUUAAAUGAAGAAAAUAGUUCAUUGAAGCAAAGCCGACAAUCAAGUUCCUCUCCAAGUGCAUCUAGAAGCACACAUAAGGGGAGCAGUGAUCAAUCUCCAAACCGUCAAAGCAAAGUUUUAGCUAAUCGUUCCUUUGGAAGCCGAACAAACAAUGGGUUUUCUCCGAAACAGGAUGGGCUAAGCAAUGGAACCACUUUUGGCAAUGAAAAGGAGCUUGCAGAUUUGUUGGAAGAGAAAAAUAAAUCUCUGUCAGCCAUGCAGGCAUCUCAUGAGCUGCAAAUAAAACAAUUAGAAAUGAAGCUUGAUAAAGAACAUGCAGAGCUGGCAAAUAUGCAAAUUAGGUUACAAGAGGAGCAGAAUUUGAGCUCGACAUGCCAACAUGAGCUGAACUCUUUAAAAGCAGACAAGGAUAAAAUGACUGCGGAGAUGGCAAAAAUUCGUACUGAGCUGUCUCAUAAAGUAUCUGAAUUAAAGCAGUUGCAAAUGGAGCUUCAUGAAAGAGAUAACAAAGAAUCAAAUGAAGCAAGAGACGGUCUGAGAAGAGUGAUAGAAACACUGCAAAAAGAAAACAGUAAUCUUAAGAACGAGAAAGAUAAGUUAGAAGCUUCAUUGAAAGCAAAUGGAGUUACUUCAGCCGAUAGAAGUAACAUCAAUAGUAUAAAUGAGAAGGUGCAUCCUGUGGAGGUAUU